CAAACGACUCUCGGCAACGGAUAUUUCGGCUCACGCAUCGAUGAAGAACGUAGCAAAAUGCGAUACUUGGUGUGAAUUGCAGAAUCCCGUGAACCAUCGAGUUUUUGAACGCAAGUUGCGCCCGAAGCCAUCCGGCUGAGGGCACGCCUGCCUGGGCGUCACGC
rnacentral:rRNA from 1 species